CAGUAGCCGCGGGAACACAGAGGGUGCGAGCGUUAAUCGGAUUUACUGGGCGUAAAGCGUGCGUAGGCGGCUUCUUAAGUCGGAUGUGAAAUCCCUGAGCUUAACUUAGGAAUUGCAUUCGAUACUGGGAAGCUAGAGUAUGGGAGAGGAUGGUAGAAUUCCAGGUGUAGCGGUGAAAUGCGUAGAGAUCUGGAGGAAUACCGAUGGCGAAGGCAGCCAUCUGGCCUAAUACUGACGCUGAGGUACGAAAGCAUGGGGAGCAAACAGGAUUAGAUACCCGGGUAGUCCCUGUCUCUUAUAC
rnacentral:rRNA from 1 species